GAUGAACGCUGACAGAAUGCUUAACACAUGCAAGUCAACUUGAACUUCGGUUUGGGUGGCGGACGGGUGAGUAACGCGUAAAGAACUUGCCUCACAGAUAGGGACAACAUUUGGAAACGAAUGCUAAUACCUGAUAUUAUGAUUUUAGGGCAUCCUAGGAUUAUGAAAGCUAUAUGCACUGUGAGAGAGCUUUGCGUCCCAUUAGCUAGUUGGAGAGGUAACGGCUCACCAAGGCGAUGAUGGGUAGCCGGCCUGAGAGGGUGAUCGGCCACAAGGGGACUGAGACACGGCCCUUACUCCUACGGGAGGCAGCAGUGGGGAAUAUUGGACAAUGGACCAAGAGUCUGAUCCAGCAAUUCUGUGUGCACGAUGAAGUUUUUCGAAAUGUAAAGUGCUUUCAGUUGGGAAGAAAAAAAUGACGGUACCAACAGAAGAAGUGACGGCUAAAUACGUGCCAGCAGCCGCGGUAAUACGUAUGUCACAAGCGUUAUCCGGAUUUAUUGGGCGUAAAGCGCGUCUAGGUGGUUAUGUAAGUCUGAUGUGAAAAUGCAGGGCUCAACUCUGUAUUGCGUUGGAAACUGUGUAACUAGAGUACUGGAGAGGUAAGCGGAACUACAAGUGUAGAGGUGAAAUUCGUAGAUAUUUGUAGGAAUGCCGAUGGGGAAGCCAGCUUACUGGACAGAUACUGACGCUGAAGCGCGAAAGCGUGGGUAGCAAACAGG
rnacentral:rRNA from 1 species